rnacentral:lncRNA from 1 species
GAAGACGAGGGAUCAGCUUUGUGUAUUCCCUCUGCCUUCUUCCUGAAGACCUGGAAGGCUAUAUAAUAUAAGCUAACCCCACAGCUUCUUUCUCCUGGCAGAGAAGCUAGAUUUCAACUGAGAAUUAAAUUCAACUUGGUAGAUGAACAUGUGCGCUGACCCAUGCAGCUGGUGGUUGAGAGUCUAUAGCCUGCUGAGGGCCUGCUGCUCAGGGAAUGAGGAGGGAAGAGCAGGUGCCGUGGGGAGUAUUCUAAUGGUAGAAGCCUCUGCAAAUUGCCGGAGUGGAAAAAAGGUCUGAAGGAAAGGACGUCCCACCUUCCUUCCCUACAUGGACACAGAUUUGAGGUUCCAAUUAAAACCGUGUUUGGGCCAUUGCUUUGCCUGCCAGUGCUUAAUCUUCUCCGAAAGCCUCAUCACUUAUCUAAAACAAAAGAAGAACGAGGUUCCCAGAGAGUUUAUGGAAGAUUGAAAGAUAACAAUAAAAUGGUGACAAUUCUGUUUAGGACAAUGAAUUACAUUCCUCCCGUGUUUUGUGCACACACUUUCUGCAGACAAAAAGUGACCUCCUAAAUCUAAAUGCUAGCUUUCUUUAUUCACUGAUUCUUCAUUUACUUUCUCUUGUACGUCGUCUGUACGUUUGUACAUCUGCUUAAUAAAUAAAUAAAUAGACUUUA